rnacentral:rRNA from 1 species
GACGAACGCUGGCGGCGGGCUUAACACAUGCAAGUCGAACGGAAAGGCCCUGCUUUUGUGGGGUGCUCGAGUGGCGAACGGGUGAGUAACACGUGAGUAACCUGCCCUUGACUUUGGGAUAACUUCAGGAAACUGGGGCUAAUACCGGAUAGGAGCUCCUGCUGCAUGGUGGGGGUUGGAAAGUUUCGGCGGUUGGGGAUGGGCUCGCGGCUUAUGAGCUUGUUGGUGGGGUAGUGGCUUACCAAGGCUGUGACGGGUAGCCGGCCUGAGAGGGUGAACGGGCACCAUGGGCCUGAGAUACGGACCAGAGUGGUACGGGAGGCAGCAGUGGGGAGUAUGGCACAGUGGGCGGAAGCGUGAUGCAGCAACGCCGCGUGCGGGAUGACGGCCUUCGGGGUGUAAAAAGCUUUCGCCUGUGACGAAGCGUGAGUGACGGUAACGGGUAAAGAAGCACCGGCUAACUACGUG